CGGAGGGAAACCGAGUCUUAACCGGGCGUUAAGUUGCAGGGUAUAGACCCGAAACCCGGUGAUCUAGCCAUGGGCAGGUUGAAGGUUGGGUAACACUAACUGGAGGACCGAACCGACUAAUGUUGAAAAAUUAGCGGAUGACCUGUGGCUGGGGGUGAAAGGCCAAUCAAACCGGGAGAUAGCUGGUUCUCCCCGAAAGCUAUUUAGGUAGCGCCUCGUGAAUUCAUCUCCGGGGGUAGAGCACUGUUUCGGCUAGGGGGCCAUCCCGGCUUACCAACCCGAUGCAAACUGCGAAUACCGGAGAAUGUUAUCACGGGAGACACACGGCGGGUGCUAACGUCCGUCGUGAAGAGGGAAACAACCCAGACCGCCAGCUAAGGUCCCAAAGUCAUGGUUAAGUGGGAAACGAUGUGGGAAGGCCCAGACAGCCAGGAUGUUGGCUUAGAAGCAGCCAUCAUUUAAAGAAAGCGUAAUAGCUCACUGGUCGAGUCGGCCUGCGCGGAAGAUGUAACGGGGCUAAACCAUGCACCGAAGCUGCGGCAGCGACACUAUGUGUUGUUGGGUAGGGGAGCGUUCUGUAAGCCUGUGAAGGUGUGUCGUGAGGCAUGCUGGAGGUAUCAGAAGUGCGAAUGCUGACAUAAGUAACGAUAAAGCGGGUGAAAAGCCCGCUCGCCGGAAGACCAAGGGUUCCUGUCCAACGUUAAUCGGGGCAGGGUGAGUCGACCCCUAAGGCGAGGCCGAAAGGCGUAGUCGAUGGGAAACGGGUUAAUAUUCCCGUACUUGGUGUUACUGCGAAGGGGGGACGGAGAAGGCUAUGUUGGCCGGGCGACGGUUGUCCCGGUUUAAGCGUGUAGGUGUGUGUUCCAGGUAAAUCCGGUUCACUUUAACACUGAGGCGUGAUGACGAGGCACUACGGUGCUGAAGCAACAAAUGCCCUGCUUCCAGGAAAAGCCUCUAAGCAUCAGGUAACAUCAAAUCGUACCCCAAACCGACACAGGUGGUCAGGUAGAGAAUACCAAGGCGCUUGAGAGAACUCGGGUGAAGGAACUAGGCAAAAUGGUGCCGUAACUUCGGGAGAAGGCACGCUGACACGUAGGUGAAGUGAUUUACUCAUGGAGCUGAAGUCAGUCGAAGAUACCAGCUGGCUGCAACUGUUUAUUAAAAACACAGCACUGUGCAAACACGAAAGUGGACGUAUACGGUGUGACGCCUGCCCGGUGCCGGAAGGUUAAUUGAUGGGGUCAGCGCAAGCGAAGCUCCUGAUCGAAGCCCCGGUAAACGGCGGCCGUAACUAUAACGGUCCUAAGGUAGCGAAAUUCCUUGUCGGGUAAGUUCCGACCUGCACGAAUGGCGUAAUGAUGGCCAGGCUGUCUCCACCCGAGACUCAGUGAAAUUGAACUCGCUGUGAAGAUGCAGUGUACCCGCGGCAAGACGGAAAGACCCCGUGAACCUUUACUAUAGCUUGACACUGAACAUUGAGCCUUGAUGUGUAGGAUAGGUGGGAGGCUUUGAAGCGUGGACGCCAGUCUGCGUGGAGCCGACCUUGAAAUACCACCCUUUAAUGUUUGAUGUUCUAACGUGGACCCGUGAUCCGGGUUGCGGACAGUGUCUGGUGGGUAGUUUGACUGGGGCGGUCUCCUCCUAAAGAGUAACGGAGGAGCACGAAGGUUGGCUAAUCCUGGUCGGACAUCAGGAGGUUAGUGCAAUGGCAUAAGCCAGCUUGACUGCGAGCGUGACGGCGCGAGCAGGUGCGAAAGCAGGUCAUAGUGAUCCGGUGGUUCUGAAUGGAAGGGCCAUCGCUCAACGGAUAAAAGGUACUCCGGGGAUAACAGGCUGAUACCGCCCAAGAGUUCAUAUCGACGGCGGUGUUUGGCACCUCGAUGUCGGCUCAUCACAUCCUGGGGCUGAAGUAGGUCCCAAGGGUAUGGCUGUUCGCCAUUUAAAGUGGUACGCGAGCUGGGUUUAGAACGUCGUGAGACAGUUCGGUCCCUAUCUGCCGUGGGCGCUGGAGAACUGAGGGGGGCUGCUCCUAGUACGAGAGGACCGGAGUGGACGCAUCACUGGUGUUCGGGUUGUCAUGCCAAUGGCACUGCCCGGUAGCUAAAUGCGGAAGAGAUAAGUGCUGAAAGCAUCUAAGCACGAAACUUGCCCCGAGAUGAGUUCUCCCUGAGACUUAGAGUCUCCUGAAGGAACGUUGAAGACGACGACGUUGAUAGGCCGGGUGUGUAAGCGCAGCGAUGCGUUGAGCUAACCGGUACUAAUGAACCGUGAGG
rnacentral:rRNA from 1 species